AUGGCGGUUGAAUUGUGUGUUGAUGUGGAGGUUAAAACGUUAGUUGUCAUUUGUAUUAUAGCUGGCGUGGGGAAUCACCUGAUUCAGCAUUCCAGCAAUACCCAGAGUGUUGAUCAACCUAAAAAAGAAGAGCAUAAAAGAGAAGGAGAAUCUGUGACCUUGGACUGCAGAAUCACAGUCAGUUAUGCUUACUAUGUGAUGUACUGGUAUCGACAGGCUUCCAGUGGAGAGAUGCCUCACAUCAUCUAUCUACUUUCUGACAGUAGAAAUUCAAGGCGAGGACGCUAUUCUGUGGUGUUUCAGAGACCAAACCUAAAGCUCACCAUCUCAGCCUUGACGCUUACAGACUCAGCCGUCUAUUUCUGUGCUGUUGCACAAGAUCCCACAGUGAGGCUAGUGAUGGGAAGAGCCUUACAAAAACCCCCAGGCCUCAGCAGGAGCCAGCCAGCUGCUCUAGGAGCAUAG